UGCCAGUGAUAAACUGGAGGAAGGUGGGGAUGACGUCAAGUCAUCAUGGCCCUUACGACCAGGGCUACACACGUGCUACAAUGGCAUAUACAAAGAGAAGCGACCUCGCGAGAGCAAGCGGACCUCAUAAAGUAUGUCGUAGUCCGGAUUGGAGUCUGCAACUCGACUCCAUGAAGUCGGAAUCGCUAGUAAUCGUAGAUCAGAAUGCUACGGUGAAUACGUUCCCGGGCCUUGUACACACCGCCCGUCACACCAUGGGAGUGGGUUGCAAAAGAAGUAGGUAGCUUAACCUUCGGGAGGGCGCUUACCACUUUGUGAUUCAUGACUGGGGUGAAGUCGUAACAAGGUAACCGUAGGGGAACCUGCGGUUGGAUCACCUC
rnacentral:rRNA from 1 species